UUGCAAAUGACCAGAUCCGAGUAGUAGUAGGAAAGAAGAAAAAUAAACAUACCUCAACAGAAUUGCGCCACAUAGUAUUGCUUGAUUUUUUUUUUUGCAACACUCUUUUUUUGCUUGACUUGACAAGACCAUCAUUCCGAUAUUUGUACACAUUUUACA
rnacentral:ribozyme from 14 species